GACCUGGCUGGGCGGUCCGCUUCACGGCGAGUACUGUCCGGCUGGGCCUUACCUCUUGGUGAACCGGCGUGCCCUUCACUGGCGUGCGUCGGAGAACCAGGACUUUUACCUUGAGAAAAUUAGAGUGUUCAAAGCAGGCCUAUGCCCGAAUACAUUAGCAUGGAAUAAUAAAAUAGGACGUGCGGUUCUAUUUUGUUGGUUUCUAGAGUCGCCGUA
rnacentral:rRNA from 1 species